rnacentral:lncRNA from 1 species
CCUUUCCUUUUUCAGGUUUACUUCGAGCGUUUCCUUUCCCUCCCUUGGGAUAAAUAACGCACGGUGGCGACUCUUCUGUCAUUUUUUCUUUCGCCGGUUGUUUUUUCCCACACUGUAUUUUUCAGGUUGCGACAGCUGGCGACUCUGUUGGGGACCCGGUUUCCCUAAGCGAGUCCCUCCUAGCUUUUGUAGUUUGUUUGUUUAUUGGGUGUUCAUGCUUUUGUACAGUUAUUUAUUUACCUGCUUUAC